CCUACGGGAGGCAGCAGUGAGGAAUAUUGGUCAAUGGGCGGGAGCCUGAACCAGCCAAGCCGCGUGAGGGAAGAAGGCACAGCGUAUCGUAAACCGCUUUUGUCAGGGAAUAAAGUCGGGGACUAGUCCCCCGUUGCGGGUACCUCAAGAAAAAGCAUCGGCUAAUUCCGUGCCAGCAGCCGCGGUAAUACGGAGGGUCCGAGCGUUAUCCGGAUUUAUUGGGUUUAAAGGGAGCGCAGGCGGUCUGUUAAG
rnacentral:rRNA from 1 species